UGGUCCUUGGACCUUGAUCGAAAACGAAAAACCAAAACCCCCCCGGGUACAUCGAUUAUUACAUGCGGGGCCAAAAGUUCCGACCUGGAACCCUCCGGGCAUGUCCCGUUGGGGUCUUGCGUAUCCUACGGCUACGGUUAUUAGGAUGUCCGCUGCCCACACAAGAAAUCAUCCUGCCCGUUCGCUUUUUUUUUUUUUUUUUCUUCUUUUGGAAGCUCCGGUGGGAAUGCCUUCCCGGCGGCCAAUCGGCGACCGCGAUCCAAAGGUCCUUUUCCUUCUCCAGUUCUCCUCUCUUUCCUUCUCCUCCCUCCACCCCGCACCUUCUCUCCGAAACCCUAAUAAGAUUUUUGAUGUAAGAAACCCUAUUAAGUGGAAACCAUCGAUUCUUGUUCUCCCUUCUCUCCGUUUCUUUCCUCCUCCGGUGGAAUCGCUGGCUUGCGAUUCUUAGGCGCUGGCGCGAGAAAACCCUAGCGGGGGGAUGUCCUCCGCCAUAGUUAUCGACUGCUCCACGGAUAAGGUCACGAUCAUGGCAGGAGAUAAGCGCUGGAUGGAUAAUCUCGACUGCCUGCCGCUGAUCAAGCGGUGGCGGUUGUUCCUCUCGAGCACGCCGUCCCCUUCGUCCCCAGAUCAUUGGAAGGAAACUUGUGUUUGUUUCUCUCAUUUCUCUUUUCGAUUUUUCUUUUUCACCUUGUAAUCUGGUUCUUGAUACCAUUAUGUUGCUUGGGUUAACCCAUCUAUGGCUAACCGCAGGCCUCCCAUAGACUUGGCUGUCAAGCUGGUCUCUCUGGGAGCUUCGCAGACAACAGGAUAUCGUGAGACCAGAGGUAAUGAGAAUAGAGCUCAUGCUGGUUGGUGAAAGCUUGAUAUCAUGAUAGUCGUUUCUACAGAAGAUUUAAAGAAAAGAAAUAUGAGAACCCAAGUUUUGUCAGAUGUUCAGCAGUCUGUGGAAGGCUUCUUAGCUGGUGGCAAGCUCCAUCAAAAGUGAUCCACCUGUGUGGUUGAAGCAAGAGGAACCAUAUCUUGUAUAUAUGAUGAUGCUCAAUCAAAUGCCAAAAUUUUGAAAAACAACUGGAAGGUUAUUCUUCCGUGAAGUUAUUGCUCAACUUUCCCAUCUUAGCUGCUAAUACGCUUCUGAUGACUGCAUGCUUAUUUUGCGACUCAUUUGAAGCUCACUCUGAAGGCUACUUGAAAAAAAUGCUCAUUCUGAAAAUCUCAAUCCUCAUGAUGUUCUGGAGGUACCACUUUGCUCAGUUCUGAUCGCAUUGAAAAUCUGAUUUUUCUUUCAAUUCUUUUAGUAUAAUACAUAUGCGAUUAUGAAAACAGUCACAUGAGUAGAACUCCUUUUAUUUUUCCAUAUUUAAUAAGGUAUCUAUAUGUUCUUCAGUUCUUCCACGUCAGAAUGUUCUUUAAUGUGAACAAAGACUAUAGUAAUUCAAUUUAUUAUGUACAGAAGGAAUCAACUUGUUCA